CUAGAAUAGAUAAGUGCUUAUUUAUAUAUUACUCUAAAGAGAGUAUGGGAUACCUCUUUUAUCACCCUACUGAAUAAAAAAAUUUUAUCAGUAAGUAUGCCAGCUUUAUGGAAAAAGAGUUUAUUAUAGAAAGAGAUAAUGGAAAGAAAAUUGAACUCGGAGAAGUUCAAAACCUAUAAAAAGAAGUACAAGAUAAUCCUCAAAUAGAAGUACCCAUUGAUGAGGUACAACCACAAAAUAUAUUUUCUCUCUGA
rnacentral:lncRNA from 1 species